AACUGGAAAAAAAAACGAUCAGGAGAAGCAAGCGCGGAAGAAGAAAAACGUGGGGAGUCCCCGAAGCGACUCCAUCAAGCGGCUUCCUCUUUUUGGAGAAAUCACAGCGAAAGGCGCACGCGUUCGCGCUUUCUGGCGUUUGCUGUCGCUUCUCCCUGUCUCGCGAAUCUCAGUCUGAGUCUUUGGGGACAUCAAGCGUCACCCGUGAGUAUCAGCGUCGUCUCCAACACCGAUGUGGGGCGAUCGGCCGAGAUGGUAUGGCACCAGGCUCAGGACAGUGAAAGCAGUUUCACCACACCGCGCAGUGCGCACGCAAGGGAAUCAAGAAAAGAGGAGAGAGCGUGCGUGACUGCGUGCGCGUCGCGUACUUUUCUCACCCUUUAUUUCUCUCUAAGCGCCCGUCUUGGUCGUGAGCACCGCUCCGGCAAUGGACUGUACGGAAAACACGAAAAGUAAGCGCAGGGAAGCAGACGCUCACAUACACAUACACGCACAGCUAACGGCACCUCUCCCACCCCUGACGCUUGAGAGGUGUGCGGCCGACUACAGAGCAAACUCUUCAUGGUGUGCCUGCUUGCAUGCGUUCAAUCUCUUCUGGUUCUUGCCUGUGGGUACGUAUCUACGGACAGGGGACAAGGAAAUACUCACCACACCGUCGAUGAGCAGCUUAGCGGGCGGUGGUUCCAAGGAGUCCCCGUGACGCAGCAACGAUAACCGUGGUUUGUGUUGAUGGGACUUAUUCCAGCCGACGGCGCGUAUCCCAAAGUUUCUUGCUCUGCGGACCGCGCGCCUGCGUUCUGCUCUUACGGUGGCAGGUGCACGAAACGCAACUGCCGUCUCACUCACCCGCUUUCCUGGAAACGCUCUCUCCUCCUCCAUCUAUCCCUCCCCAUUUGGGGCCCAACGCGUCUUCUCUCUUCGUCGUCGCUCGCGACGCGCUUGUCUCGCAG
rnacentral:misc_RNA from 1 species